rnacentral:rRNA from 1 species
GCCCUACGGGACGCAGCAGUGGGGAAUAUUGCACAAUGGGGGAAACCCUGAUGCAGCGACGCCGCGUGAAGGAAGAAGUAUUUCGGUAUGUAAACUUCUAUCAGCAGGGAAGAAAAUGACGGUACCUGACUAAGAAGCCCCGGCUAACUACGUGCCAGCAGCCGCGGUAAUACGUAGGGGGCAAGCGUUAUCCGGAUUUACUGGGUGUAAAGGGUGCGCAGGCGGCGUGUCAAGUCAGCGGUAAAAUGUCGGGGCUCAACCCCGGCCAGCCGUUGAAACUGG